rnacentral:rRNA from 1 species
UGCGUAGGCGGCUUUGCAAGUCAGAUGUGAAAUCUAUGGGCUCAACCCAUAAACUGCAUUUGAAACUGUAGAGCUUGAGUGAAGUAGAGGCAGGCGGAAUUCCCCGUGUAGCGGUGAAAUGCGUAGAGAUGGGGAGGAACACCAGUGGCGAAGGCGGCAACCUGGCUCAUUACUGACGCUGAGGCGCGAAAGCGUGGGGAGCAAACA